UACGUAGGGUGCAAGCGUUGUCCGGAAUUAUUGGGCGUAAAGAGCUCGUAGGCGGUCUGUCGCGUCGGCUGUGAAAACCCGGAGCUCAACUCCGGGCCUGCAGUCGAUACGGGCAGACUGGAGUUCGGCAGGGGAGACUGGAAUUCCUGGUGUGGCGGUGAAAUGCGCAGAUAUCAGGAGGAACACCGGUGGCGAAGGCGGGUCUCUGGGCCGAUACUGACGCUGAGGAGCGAAAGCGUGGGGAGCGAACAGG
rnacentral:rRNA from 1 species